UACGUAGGGGGCAAGCGUUGUCCGGAUUUAUUGGGCGUAAAGAGCGUGUAGGCGGCCAUGCAGGUCAGCUGUGAAAACUCGAGGCUCAACCUCGAGACGUCGGUUGAAACCGCUUGGCUAGAGUCCGGAAGAGGAGAGUGGAAUUCCCGGUGUAGCGGUGAAAUGCGCAGAUAUCGGGAAGAACACCCGUGGCGAAGGCGGCUCUCUGGGACGGUACUGACGCUGGGACGCGAAAGCGUGGGGAGCGAACAGG
rnacentral:rRNA from 1 species